GCGGACGGGUGAGUAAUGCCUAGGAAUCUGCCUGGUAGUGGGGGAUAACGCUCGGAAACGGACGCUAAUACCGCAUACGUCCUACGGGAGAAAGCAGGGGACCUUCGGGCCUUGCGCUAUCAGAUGAGCCUAGGUCGGAUUAGCUAGUUGGUGAGGUAAUGGCUCACCAAGGCGACGAUCCGUAACUGGUCUGAGAGGAUGAUCAGUCACACUGGAACUGAGACACGGUCCAGACUCCUACGGGAGGCAGCAGUGGGGAAUAUUGGACAAUGGGCGAAAGCCUGAUCCAGCCAUGCCGCGUGUGUGAAGAAGGUCUUCGGAUUGUAAAGCACUUUAAGUUGGGAGGAAGGGCAUUAACCUAAUACGUUAGUGUUUUGACGUUACCGACAGAAUAAGCACCGGCUAACUCUGUGCCAGCAGCCGCGGUAAUACAGAGGGUGCAAGCGUUAAUCGGAAUUACUGGGCGUAAAGCGCGCGUAGGUGGUUCGUUAAGUUGGAUGUGAAAUCCCCGGGCUCAACCUGGGAACUGCAUUCAAAACUGUCGAGCUAGAGUAUGGUAGAGGGUGGUGGAAUUUCCUGUGUAGCGGUGAAAUGCGUAGAUAUAGGAAGGAACACCAGUGGCGAAGGCGACCACC
rnacentral:rRNA from 1 species